GCCAGCCAGGGGGAGGGGAGCAGCUCCAGGAGGAACCAGGCCCGGAGACUUCAGUGGAAGACAAAUGAUCCUGUGCCAGGGACUUUCUCCUGCAACGCUGGAAAAAUCAUGUUGGAAAAGGAAGACAGAUUUGAAUGAAAAUGCUGUGGCAGCAUUUCUGAUGGGACCGGGGCGUUCUGGGCGAAUGGAAAGGCUGCACACGUGAAACAGCGAGCAGAAACUCUGGGAACAUCAAACAAGGGGUUGACGUCCACCCUGCUCCAUCCCAUGUAACAAUGCACGGCUGUUUAACAGUGACAUUCAUAAGAGCAGGAGUUACCUUGAUUAUUCACAUGCAACACUGGCCACUUCCCUGAAAAUCUGCAAUCCAAAAUUAGGGUGGGGGUUUUAAAUGAGGCAUGGUAUCCAGGUUGUGGCCGUAUUGGUCUAGAGGCAAAAGGAAUCAGGACUCGUGAGAGAGGUGGUAUCCUUUAUUAGAGCAAUCUGAUUUUUGCAACAACAACAAAAUUCUUUAUAGAAUGAAAAUUAAAAAUUUUUAAUUACAAAUUAAAGAAUUUUUGUUGCAAAAAUCUAGUGGAUCUAAUAAAAGAUAUCACUUUUACCAUGAGUUCUGGUUCUUAAGUGAAGACUGUGAUUCUUAAUGGAAAAACCUUUUGCUCUUCAAUCUGUCUUGUCCAAAUCAGAUGCAUGGCUUAUUUGGGGGACUUACAAUUUGUGAAUAAAUCCAUUCGUUCCAAGA